rnacentral:rRNA from 1 species
UACGUAGGGGACAAGCGUUGUCCGGAUUUAUUGGGCGUAAAGAGCGUGUAGGCGGCUUUACAGGUCCGUUGUGAAAACUCGAGGCUCAACCUCGAGACGCCGGUGGAAACCGUAAGGCUAGAGUCCGGAAGAGGAGAGUGGAAUUCCUGGUGUAGCGGUGAAAUGCGCAGAUAUCGGGAGGAACACCUGUGGCGAAAGCGGCGCACUGGACCACAACUGACGCUGAGGCGCGAAAGCUAGGGGAGCAAACAGG